UCCGGUGAUCAAAGCGAUCUGGCCCCACCUGAUCCCAUUUCGAACUCAGAAGUGAAACAGGUCAGCGUUGACGAUAGUAUUCGGGCGACUGAAUGCGAAAAUAGAUCAUCGCCGGGC
rnacentral:rRNA from 1 species